UCACGGCUUGGGUCGUGACAUAAGCUCCGCGGCACAUCGCGAACCCUUGCUGGUUCCUCAUGGAAAUGCUCUAAACUUUUCGCUCGGGUAUCGAAUUAAGUAGAAAUCGAAUGCGUUGGAAAGAGGACUCAUUUAUAUUUAAUUUGGUAGGCCUUGAGACCCAAAAUUUCACAUAUUUCAAAAGUUAUACACGUUCAAAGUUGAUCCUUAUAGAAUUUGUUUUGCGGAGAAAUUUUGACUUUUUGAAUAAGCGGUUCCUAUUAACGUUUUAGAAAGGUGUUAAGACACCUAAAAUGUCCGCUAACUUGCGGUUAUCCGGACUGUUUGAAAACGUCUUUUGACUAACUUUGAAAGAAGUUGUUUUUUGAAAAGAAAACCGAUUUUAGGAAUAUUUUGGAGUUUAUGCAAAACCAGUUUUUAGUGACUUGACUAAGAAUUUAACUAGGUUCACAAAACACAUAAGGCAAACAAGCGUAAAGAAAAAGGGGAAGGGGAGAAAGUAAGGGAUUUAGGUCAGUGGGCCCAAAUCAAUGAGACCUGUCCUAGCCAAAUUGGGCUUUCGUCCAUUUCACCUGUCCUAAUCUAGUUUUUAACCCCUUUUGGCUCGAGUCUCGCUUCACCUAUAUUAAAUUUAUAACUUUAGCUUCGAGGUCCAAAUGCAAGAAUAAAGGAAUAAAUAAAUAAAUACGACAACAAUAGAUAAAUAAAGACAACAAAUAAAUAACCAAAACUGACGCUCGGGUUUCGUCGUCACUUCAAGAAUGGGACUUUAACCCAUUUUCCUUCUUUCGACUCCUUGUAUCCAUGCACUACGGGAUCACUUCUGAACUUAGAACUUUGAAAAAAUGACUUAGGGCUAGACGGGCCUCAAUGGCCCAUAAUGCACAUGCAAUGGGACUCAAACUCAUCCACAUACAAAAAGAGAAGUGACGUAAUUAACAUAUAUCCGAAAGUUAAUAUUUAAACAAAUACUAAAUUAUCAUGUAUAAAAAAAAACAUGCAAAAUUAGUUUAACAAAAGUAUCUUCCCAUUAUUAACAUACAAGAAAACCGGCUUAGAACUGUACCCUAUUACUUAUUUUCUAAUAAUUAGUAUGAUGAAUGUACCUUGGUAUACACCAUCUGGGAGCAAUUCAUGAAUACAAGCCUUGUUUACUUAGCAAAAAGAGUUGAAUACGCAGUGGGAUUGUGUAGAGUACUAACAAGAUGGGGCAUGCACAAUAGAAGCAUAUUACUUAUAGAUAUAUACAUGAACAAACAUCACAGCAGGUUAGUAUUCAACUGUCAUCAAUACCCAUUUGACAUAGUCCGGCAUUGCAACAACAUUCAAUGUAAAAGAUAAUUACCCUAAACAACUAUCCAUGUGAAUAUAUUUUAUUCUCUUUCCAGUUGCUUGAGGUUUAAGAUUUCAAGUAAUGGAAUCUUUAUUCAAGUCUUUGAUUCACAGAAUGCAACAGAACACUAAGAAAAGAAAAAUAAAACUAGAAAUAAAAAAAAUCAGCCAGCUAUUACAUGUUGUCACUAAAAGCACUUGCGAUUGAGAUUUGCAAAGACCUUGAUCCCUGUCUUCGGAGGUAUAUCUUUUACGUAUCCUGAUUACACCCUAAGUUCUAAAGGGAACUUUCUUAUUAGAACUGAUGCAUAUGCAUUUCGAAUGCCUUUUCCUUCACCAACAGAUAUGAAUAAAACAACACUAACAAACAUUCAGAGACUUUGGAUGCUUCAAAACAAAGAUGCCUCUCUAAAAGAGAUCUUCAGCAACUAAAGUUUGUAUUCUAAUUCUAUUGCAUUGCAAAAGGUUCAAUGACCUCUCUUUAAUUCUAAUUGUUUAACUAAUACCAAAAGGAAUAAAAGAAAACAGGUUCAAAGCAUGACAUCAUUUUAGAGAAUUGAAUACCAACACGAUUUCAUUUUAAGAGUAAAAUAAAACAGCCCAACGAAGAUUAUGACAAGAUGAAAAGAUCCUUAAACAGACUCAACAAUCGAUCCAAUCAAAACCAAUAGUAUGGCUCAAAAAUCUCCUCUACUCAAGUAGCCCAAAGACAUGCAGUUUUCGGUAAUUGUAUGGAAAGCUUGCAACAAGUAGAAACAAUAACGAGAACAGGGAAGGAUGAACAUUUCUUAAUCUUAAACAAAGAUAAAAUUCCAUCUUGGGUAUAUAAGAUCUCAUAUCAUAGAGCAACGAAUCUAACCCCAAAAUUUGAAAAUGCAGCGUACAAAGUGGAUAGAAAUAUUUGCAUCAAGCAAGCACGAAUAUUGAAUAUACUUAGCUGAACAGAGAAAAAAUCGAGUGCCUAAACAAAUCUUAUGGUCCAAUUACCUAGAAGAGCCGAUUAUCACAGAUUACCGAAAGGAGAAGAACAUAUGCAACUAAUCGAUAGUUAUUCAAAUAAAAAGAUGAGAACUUAAAAAUGGCUAUAACUUGACAGAUUAUUACGCGGUGUAUUACAACAAAACAAAUUCGACAAUAUCAAUCCAUCAGUGAAUCGAAAAAACAGAAACAUAAUCACAUAACCAUAACGAACCCCACAUCAAUUAUUUCAACACAACAUCCUACUGCCUUUGUAGCCUCUACAGUAUAUAACCCAGCAUGCAAUAUCACUAAUACUCGCAACUACAGAAGGUUGAGAUGAAGUAGACAUAGUCAAAAGAUAAGCGAAAUGGGGUGUUACCUUUUUUGGAGCAGCAAAUAGGACUAAGAGCUAACUGUCGAAAUCCGCCACCACCGGAAAUCAGCGUUAUCAACUUGAUAAUCUCCGAUUAGUCAACCAACUUUCAGAAAGAAGAACGAAAAAGAAAGUUUUCACUAAGGGAACUGUUUUGAUCCCAAAAUUUUCUCCCACCUCUUUUCGAACCCAAAAAAUUCAAACCAAAAAUCCUCAGAACCUUUACUUUCCUUAUCAGACCUCAAAAUUUCCCAACACUAGUUUUUCAACCUAAGAGCCUAAAAGAGAAAAUCCCCCUAUUCCCAGACCCAAAAUUUCAAACCCUAAAAACGGUGACCCAGAAGAAAACCAUCCUCUCUUUUCUUGCUCCAGAGAGAGCUAUUUAUAGAAAGGGGGAUUGAGGGUUCAUUUUUUGAAUUCAAAAGAUGAGAAUGCUAACAAAUCGUACCCCCUUGUUGAUUUUCAUGAACGGAUUUCCAAAAAUGGCCAAUAGAAAUUUAAGAAAAUGGAAUCAUCUUCACAAGCCAAUGAAAAUUUUCCACCCUUGUACGAAAUCGUACAGCCUCAUCCGAGAUUCGCGAGGGUGAGCCAGCUCACCCAUUUCUAUAAACUUUCUUGAAUUUUUGUAACAAACACACGCCAUCUAGGCGGGUCGACGUUCGGAAGCUGUUUUUCGCCGAAUUUCGGGUUAAGGUUGACUGGACGAGUCGCGAAGUUGAUGGAUUUUGGUCGAUUUUUGGCUGGUUGUUUGCUGAAGGUCGAUGUUGUUGAUGGUUUGUU
rnacentral:lncRNA from 1 species